rnacentral:tRNA from 1 species
GCCUUUGUGGUGUAAUGUUCAGCACCCUGGGCGUGUAUUCCAGAGGUCCGUGGUUCGAGUCCCGGCGAAAGCG